UACAGGGACUGCAAGCGUUAUUCGGAUUCACUGGGCGUAAAGGGUGCGCAGGCGGCCAAGUGUGUCAGGUGUGAAAUCCCGAGGCUUAACCUCGGAACUGCGCCUGAAACUACUUGGCUAGAGUACUGGAGAGGGUAACGGAAUUCACGGUGUAGCAGUGAAAUGCGUAGAUAUCGUGAGGAACACCAGAGGCGAAGGCGGUUACCUGGACAGUUACUGACGCUCAGGCACGAAAGCGUGGGGAGCAAAAGGG
rnacentral:rRNA from 1 species